UACGUAGGGUGCAAGCGUUGUCCGGAAUUAUUGGGCGUGAAGAGCUCGUAGGCGGUGUGUCACGUCGGCCGUGAAAACCUGCAGCUUAACUGUGGGCGUGCGGUCGAUACGGGCAUCACUGGAGUUCGGCAGGGGAGACUGGAAUUCCUGGUGUAGCGGUGAAAUGCGCAGAUAUCAGGAGGAACACCGGUGGCGAAGGCGGGUCUCUGGGCCGAUACUGACGCUGAGGAGCGAAAGCGUGGGGAGCAAACAGG
rnacentral:rRNA from 1 species